AUUGAACGCUGGCGGCAUGCUUUACACAUGCAAGUCGAACGGUAACAGGCCGCAAGGUGCUGACGAGUGGCGAACGGGUGAGUAAUGCAUCGGAACGUGCCCAGUCGUGGGGGAUAACGCAGCGAAAGCUGUGCUAAUACCGCAUACGAUCUAUGGAUGGAAGCGGGGGACCGUAAGGCCUCGCGCGAUUGGAGCGGCCGAUGUCAGAUUAGGUAGUUGGUGGGGUAAAGGCCCACCAAGCCAACGAUCGGUAGCUGGUCUGAGAGGACGACCAGCCAGACUGGGACUGAGACACGGCCCAGACUCCUACGGGAGGCAGCAGUGGGGAAUUUUGGACAAUGGGCGCAAGCCUGAUCCAGCAAUGCCGCGUGCAGGAAGAAGGCCUUCGGGUUGUAAACUGCUUUUGUACGGAACGAAAAGGUCUGGGUUAAUACCCUGGGCUGAUGACGGUACCGUAAGAAUAAGCACCGGCUAACUACGUGCCAGCAGCCGCAGUAA
rnacentral:rRNA from 1 species